rnacentral:rRNA from 1 species
GGAGUUAGCUGAGAGGUGGUGCAUGGCCGUCGUCAGUUCGUACUGUGAAGCAUCCUGUUAAGUCAGGCAACGAGCGAGACCCACGCCCACAGUUGCCAGCGUACUCUCCGGAGUGACGGGUACACUGUGGGGACCGCCGCUGCUAAAGCGGAGGAAGGAAUGGGCAACGGUAGGUCAGUAUGCCCCGAAUAUCCCGGGCUACACGCGAGCUACAAUGGUUGGUACAAUGGGUAUCUACCCCGAAAGGGGAUGGAAAUCUCCUAAAGCCAAUCUUAGUCCGGAUUGAGGGCUGCAACUCGCCCUCAUGAAGCUGGAAUCCGUAGUAAUCGCGUUUCAACAGAACGCGGUGAAUACGUCCCUGCUCCUU